UACUGCCUCACCUGAAAAAUAAGAGUGGUCAGAGUGCCCACUACCCAGGGUUCCUGGAGGACCAAGUGAGAUAAUUGGUGUAAAUCCUUGGCACAGAUCUGGGACACAGCAGGUGUUGGCAAUAUCCUUGAAGAGACUAAAAGAACUCAGAACAACACUGAACAAGCCAGCAGAGCCAUCAACUCACCCCUACAGUCUCCAUACACAGACUCCAUGAAAGCAUUGGCCAUCAGCUCUCACUGGUUUCUGCCCCAAAUUCACACACUCCCUCCUAUCACCAAAGCCACCCGCCACCGCUGGCCUCCUGCAUGCUGUGGGAGGAGAGGAGGGCAGACAACGUUGCCUCCCCUGACUCCCAUCGCGCGGGCUUGUGAGUCCAUGGAGCGCAGUUGUCCAGGGAACUAUCCGAUGCAGCAUGAGAGGAAGGUGAUGCAGCGGCAUCCCACCUUGAGAUGAGAGAAAGCUGUUCUGGGCUUCCAGUGAUUGGCAGCUGAGGUCACUCCUUUGCCCAUACCCCCGCCCCGAGACUGUUUCCAGUGCCCCAAGUUCACCUCAAGGAUCAUUGCACAGCAGAAGUGAGUUUUACUUAGGUUGAGACACUCACAUAUAGGGAAUGCAGAAUAAAUCCCAUCCCUUCCUCAGCCAGCAGGGGCAAGGCCCUGAGAAGGAGAACAUCGUGUAGGUACAGGCCAACCCCAGGGGCCUCUCACAGGGCCCUCCUCAUCAUCACUCACCUCUCUAUUCAGCAAACACUCAGUGAGACAACCAUGGACCCUAGGGAUGCAACAGUGAAGGAGACGCAGCCUUUCAACACCUGGCAGGGCAGAGACACUUCAACAGUCAUUGCCAGCCCCAGUGGACAAUGUAAGGAGGCCACCAGCCAAGAAAUGCUGUCAGUGCCUGGAAGCUGGAAAGGCAAUGAAAUGGAUUUUCCCCAGAACCUCCAGGGAGAAUAUGGCACAGCUUCUACCUUGAUUUUCACCCAGUGAGACACAUUUUGGAUUUCUGACCUAAAGAAUUGUAAGGUAAAUCUGUGAUCUUAUAAACCACUAGGUUUGUGGCAAUUUGUUAUAGCAGCAACAGGAAAUUAUUAUGGGGGUAUUGGUGCCAUUAAGGUAUGCAGGGGUAGAAGCAGAUUUGGGGACAGGAAACACUUAUGUUUUAGGCAUGAUAAGUUUAUGGAGCCCAGGUGCAGUUGUGCAAUAGCUGAAUAUCUGAGGCUGGAACUCAGGAGGAAAGUCUGGCUGGCAGAGGAUGCUCAGGAACUAACAGGGUUUUAGGAGAAAUGGAAACCGUAAAAAUGAAUGAAGGAUGAGACUGAGCUGAAAUGGAGGAUGGCAGAGGAGCCCUUGAAGGAGAGAGAGAACAAUUAUCCCAGAUUAACUACUUCAUCUCCUAACAAAGGCAGUAAAGUGAUAGCAUAGUGAAGACUUUAGUUUCAUUCUACUGAUUCUCUGGGGUCUGUUUUUUAUUUUGCAGGCUGCCUGGAUCCCCAGAGUUUGUCUGGAAAGCCUCUUGAGAUGGGGUUAUGUGCUCCGAGGAUCCCAGGAGGAAGGAUGGGGCAAGAGCAGACAAACCUAUGCCUCUACAGCAGCUGUACCGUUGUCCUGGGAGUGAGCCCCAGCCGUGGCUCAAGGCACACGUGCCUCCAGAGGACAAUCUGGGAUGCUCAGGGGACAGAGAGGCAGAGGGACUAUCAGGGUGAAGCUGUCUUUUUCACUUGUUUGGCACUCAGCCCAGGGCCUGGAUUUAUCCUGCACAAAAUGAACAGUGCAGGGCCCUUCAUCUGGGGAAAGCCUAACAGUGGCACCCAAGCAGAGCUAGGAGGUCCAGGUCCUCCAGUGGCAGGGAGGGAGGGAGCUCCUUUCCAGGUACUUUCUUUCCUAGAUAGAGGAUCUUGGUGACUCAUCUCCCAGUUCAACUGUAAAGGCUAAGGGCCUCCUUGAAGUUUCCUUCCUUAUGAAAAUGUCCAUAGCAAGUUUGUCACUUAGGAAUGUUUUUCAAUGAUAGGAAACAGAAAAGCCAACUAGUAGGAGAUGAAAUAAGUUGAGAUUUUUUUUUUUAAUAGCAAGAAGUCUGGAUAUUGUCAGUAGCCGGCAUUGGUUUAGGACACAAUAAUAUUGGGGAUGAUGUCCUGUAUUUUUCUUGGCCUUUUUCUUACAGUCACAAUGUGGAUGCCAUGGCUCAAGGUAUCACAUCCCUAUUCAAGGCAGGAUAUAGGAGGAAGGGAUGGUGCCAGAUACAUCUGUCCCAUUUAUUAAAAAGCAAGCUUCUCCAAAACCCAAGCAGGUUUCUGCCUAUCUCUCACUGCCAGGACACUGUCAAAUGUUCCCUACAGCUACAGAAGAUGAGAAAAGAAGAUACUCAUUUUUCCAGCCUCUAGAGUGGAGACUGGUAAGGGAAAGGAGGUUCAGAAUGGGUGUGGGGUAAGCCAGUCUAUUGUUAGAUAAAUGCUUGUUGACCCAAAUUGCUUCCCCUUAAAAAAGACAGGUUGUUCCAUGUGAAGGCAUCCGGGGUAUAAAGGAUCUCUCACCCAUGUCAGAGACCCCUCACCCACCACACCUGGGCAGCCCCUGAUGGUCUACCCAGGCACCUGCUGCCAUGGACUAUGGCCACUAACAUCUCUCUCUCUCUCUCUCUCUCUCUCUCUCUCUCUCUUUCUGGGAGGUUUGUCCCACAGAAAGCCACAUCAUUGAGGAAGCAGAAGGAAAAGAGAAAGUCUGUCUUAACUUCCAAGUAAUAAAAUUCAGGGCUGUUUUCUGUGGCCAAAGUUAACUGUUCAAUUAACUCAGAGAGGAAACGUCAAACCAGUUAUCUGGGAUACUGACUAGCUCUCACCUUUCCACCAGCUGCCUGGACUUGAAGAGCCAGCUGGCACUCAGGUCCUGGGUAUGUGGGGGCCUCCUUCCAGCCAGCUUUCCUCCUCACCCUCUCACCUCAUUUCUGCUGCUUCUUCCACCUGGUCCCACCUGAUCUCCACAUCUGUUUACCCUUAGCUUGGGCUGCCUCCCAUCCGUCCUCUCUCACCUGCAGAUGGAGUAUCUCUGAAGCUGACUAUGCAACCAACACCUCCCUCCCUCCCUGCCCCUCCUUGGACUCUCCACCCAGCAGCAGUGGGCUGGCAGGAACACCCACCUUCCUAACCACAGGCCCCUGCCGGGCGCACACACAGUACUUGGAUUCCCCGGAGCAACGCGAUGCUGUUAGAUGUGGUGGGAGGGUCAGGAUCUGGGAGAAAUUCUGAGGGACUCACAGGCAUGACUCACAUUUGGCAUUUGGUGGGUGUCUGCCCACUUGAACAUGAAGACAGGCACCUGCCCACCUUCAAGCAUGCCUGGGGUCUCCUGCUUGAGUGGGCAAGUUUUUGCUUCUGCAAGACUGCAGGGAGCUCAUUGGCAUGUCCUUCGUAGGGGCAGCAGCUGGCCUACGGUGCUGGUCGGUGGGGGGAGUCCACAGCAGGAGUCCACAGCAGGAGCCUUGCCCAGCAAGGAUGUUGCAUCUCCUGGUGAUUAACGGACGAGAGUCAUUCCCAUCGACCCUGAAUCCCAAUAGCCUGAGAAUGGGGUGGGGUGGUAAACAAGGGUAGGCAGAUACAGGAACAAUUUCCAAAAGUCUAGGUUAGCCCUGCUGCUGUGUUGGUGAAGGCUGGUGAGGGUGCAGGCAAAGGGAAAAGGGACCCUUUCCUAAACUGUUGGUAGAAAUAUAAAUUGGCUUAGUAUUUCUGAAGGACAAUUUGGCCUUAACUAUCAAUUUUUAUUUUUAUUUUUUUUUGAGACAAGAUCUCACUCUGUGGUCCAGGCUGGAGUGCAAUGUUGCAAUUGUGCAGUAGCGCAAUCAUGGCUCACUGCAACCUCCACCUCCUGGGCUCAAGUGAUCCUCCCACCUCAGCCUCCCAAGUAGCUGGGACUACAGGUGCACAUCACCAUGCUUGGCUAACUUUUUGUAUUUUUUUUUUUUUUGGUAAAGACAGGGUCUCACCAUGUUGCCCAGGCUGGUCUUGAACUCCUGAGCUCAAGCAAUCCACCUGCCUCAGCCUCCAAAAGUGCUGAGAUUACAGGCGUUAGCUACCAUGCCCAGCCACCUAUUAAAUUUUAUUUUAUUUUAUUUUUUGAGUCCGUGUCUCACUCUGUUGCCCAGGCUGGAGUACAGUGGCGCAGCCUCGGCUUACUACAACCUGCACCUCCCAGGUUCAAGUGAUUCUCCUGCCUCAGCCUCCUGAGUAGAUGGGACUACAGGCGUGCAACAUCACGCCUAGCUAAUUUUUGUAUUUUUAGUAGAGAUGGGGUUUCACCAUGUUGGUGAGGCUGGUCUCAAACUCCUGACCUCAGGUGAUCUGCCUGCCUCUGCCUCCCAAAGUGCUGGGAUUAUAGGCAUGAAGCACUGUGCCCAGCCACCUAUCAAAUUUUAAAUGGGUAAGUGUAUAUCUAGGCUGCAGAUUUAGUUCCACACAUGUAUUAUCUUAGCAAGGUUUCUCCCAAGGAUUUGGGGGAAACAGAGGACUUACAUUUUCUACUUCAUACACUUUUAGAUUUAUAUUUUUUGAUGAUGAGCAUGUAUUAACUUUCUAAUUAUAAAAAUAGCAAAAGGGUGGCUGGACACAGUGGCUCACGCCUGUAAUCCCAGCACCUUGGGAGGCCGAGGUGGGCGGAUCAUGAAGUCAGGAGAUCGAGACCAUCCUGGCUAACACGGUGAAACCCUCUCUACUAAAAAUACAAAAAAAUUAGCUGGGCAUGGUGGCAGGCACCCGUAGUCCCAGCUGCUGGGGAGGCUGA
rnacentral:lncRNA from 1 species